rnacentral:rRNA from 1 species
GACGAACGCUGGCGGCGUGCUUAACACAUGCAAGUCGAACGGAAAGGCCCUGCUUUUGUGGGGUGCUCGAGUGGCGAACGGGUGAGUAACACGUGAGUAACCUGCCCUUGACUUUGGGAUAACUUCAGGAAACUGGGGCUAAUACCGGAUAGGAGCUCCUGCUGCAUGGUGGGGGUUGGAAAGUUUCGGCGGUUGGGGAUGGACUCGCGGCUUAUCAGCUUGUUGGUGGGGUAGUGGCUUACCAAGGCUUUGACGGGUAGCCGGCCUGAGAGGGUGACCGGCCACAUUGGGACUGAGAUACGGCCCAGACUCCUACGGGAGGCAGCAGUGGGGAAUAUUGCACAAUGGGCGGAAGCCUGAUGCAGCAACGCCGCGUGCGGGAUGACGGCCUUCGGGUUGUAAGCCGCUUUCGCCUGUGGCGAAGCGUGAGUGACGGUAAUGGGUAAAGAAGCACCGGCUAACUACGUG